rnacentral:rRNA from 1 species
CGGAGGAUCCAAGCGUUAUCCGGAAUCAUUGGGUUUAAAGGGUCCGUAGGCGGUUUAGUAAGUCAGUGGUGAAAGCCCAUCGCUCAACGGUGGAACGGCCAUUGAUACUGCUAGACUUGAAUUAUUAGGAAGUAACUAGAAUAUGUAGUGUAGCGGUGAAAUGCUUAGAGAUUACAUGGAAUACCAAUUGCGAAGGCAGGUUACUACUAAUGGAUUGACGCUGAUGGACAAAAGCGUGGGUAGCGAACAGGAUUAGAUACCCUGGUAGUCCACGCCGUAAACGAUGGAUACUAGCUGUUGGGAGCGAUCUCAGUGGCUAAGCGAAAGUGAUAAGUAUCCCACCUGGGGAGUACGUUCGCAAGAAUG